UAGGAUCUUCAACCUUCGUUGUGACAUGUGGGAUUUUUUUUUUCUUUUCUUCUUCUUUUUUUUUUCAGUUAUGACAUGUGAACUCAGUUACAGACUGUGAGAUCUAGUUCCCUGACCAGGGAUGGAACUGGGACCCCCUGAAUUGGGAGCGCAGAGUCCCAGCCACUGAACCACCAUGUGUGAAGGUAAUUAAUCCUCACCAGAACCCUGAAAGAGCGGGGUUUUUAUUGUCCCCAUUGUACAGAGGAAGAGACCAAGGAGAGCUGACUUGUGCAAGAGAGCUGGUUGAAACAAAUCUGCAUCUCCACACAGUGGAAUACUAUGCAGUUGUGACAAAGAAUGAGAAGACUACAUUUUCACUGUUGCGCGAAAGUGCAGAGUACACAGUGAGUUACUACUCUUUAUGUAAAAAGACUAUAUUUGAAUUUGUUUACAUUUGCAUAAUCUCUGGAAGAAUAAGCAAGGAACUAAUAAAAGUGCUCGUGUAUGUGUUAAGAGGAACUGGACAG